rnacentral:rRNA from 1 species
AUUGAACGCUGGCGGCAUGCUUUACACAUGCAAGUCGUACGGCAGCGGGUCCUUCGGGAUGCCGGCGAGUGGCGAACGGGUGAGUAAUGCAUCGGAACGUACCCAGUCGUGGGGGAUAACGCAGCGAAAGUUGUGCUAAUACCGCAUACGACCUGAGGGUGACAGUGGGGGACCGGUAACGGCCUCACGCGAUUGGAGCGGCCGAUGUCUGAUUAGCUAGUUGGUGGGGUAAAGGCCCACCAAGGCGACGAUCAGUAGCGGGUCUGAGAGGAGGAUCCGCCACACUGGGACUGAGACACGGCCCAGACUCCUACGGGAGGCAGCAGUGGGGAAUUUUGGACAAUGGGGGCAACCCUGAUCCAGCCAUGCCGCGUGCGGGAAGAAGGCCUUCGGGUUGUAAACCGCUUUCGGACGGAAAGAAAUCGCAUGGGUUAAUACCCUGUGUGGAUGACGGUACCGUAAGAAGAAGCACCGGCUAACUACGUGCCAGCCGCCGCCGUAAUAC